AGCGAACGCUGGCGGCAGGCUUAACACAUGCAAGUCGAGCGGGCGUAGCAAUACGUCAGCGGCAGACGGGUGAGUAACGCGUGGGAACGUACCUUUUGGUUCGGAACAACACAGGGAAACUUGUGCUAAUACCGGAUAAGCCCUUACGGGGAAAGAUUUAUCGCCGAAAGAUCGGCCCGCGUCUGAUUAGCUAGUUGGUGAGGUAAUGGCUCACCAAGGCGACGAUCAGUAGCUGGUCUGAGAGGAUGAUCAGCCACAUUGGGACUGAGACACGGCCCAAACUCCUACGGGAGGCAGCAGUGGGGAAUAUUGGACAAUGGGCGGAAGCCUGAUCCAGCCAUGCCGCGUGAGUGAUGAAGGCCCUAGGGUUGUAAAGCUCUUUUGUGCGGGAAGAUAAUGCGGUCC
rnacentral:rRNA from 1 species